rnacentral:rRNA from 1 species
UGAACGCUGGCGGCGUGCCUACUACAUGCAAGUCGAGCGAACGGACGAGAAGCUUGCUUCUCUGAUGUUAGCGGCGGACGGGUGAGUAACACGUGGAUAACCUACCUAUAAGACUGGGAUAACUUCGGGAAACCGGAGCUAAUACCGGAUAAUAUUUUGAACCGCAUGGUUCAAAAGUGAAAGACGGUCUUGCUGUCACUUAUAGAUGGAUCCGCGCUGCAUUAGCUAGUUGGUAAGGUAACGGCUUACCAAGGCAACGAUGCCUAGCCGACCUGAGAGGGUGAUCGGCCACACUGGAACUGAGACAGGGUCCAGACUCCUACGGGAGGCAGCAGUAGGGAAUCUUCCGCAAUGGGCGAAAGCCUGACGGAGCAACGCCGCGUGAGUGAUGAAGGUCUUCGGAUCGUAAAACUCUGUUAUUAGGGAAGAACAUAUGUGUAAGUAACUGUGCACAUCUUGACGGUACCUAAUCAGAAAGCCACGGCUAACUACGUG